rnacentral:tRNA from 1 species
GUCCCCUUCGUCUAGAGGCCUAGGACACCGGAUUUUCAUUCCGGCAACACGGGUUCGACUCCCGUAGGGGACGCCA